rnacentral:rRNA from 1 species
AUUGAACGCUGGCGGCAUGCUUUACACAUGCAAGUCGAACGAGUGGCGCACGGGUGAGUAAUGUCUGGGAAACUGCCCGAUGGAGGGGGAUAACUACUGGAAACGGUAGCUAAUACCGCAUACCAUCGGAUGUGCCCCGAUGGGAUUUGCUAGUAGGUGGGGUAACGGCUCACCUAGGCGACGAUCCCUAGCUGGUCUGAGAGGAUGACAAGCCACACUGGAAUGGAGACACGGUCCAGACUCCUACGGGAGGCAGCAGUGGGGAAUAUGGCACAAUGGGCGAAAGCCUGAUGCAGCCAUGCCGCGUGUAUGAAGAAGGCCUGAGGGUUGUAAAGUACUUUCAGCGAGGAGGCGUUACUCUCAGAAGAAGCACCGGCUAACUCCGUGCCAGCAGCCGCGGUAAUAC